rnacentral:rRNA from 1 species
AUGGAACAAUGGUUCCAGCUGGAGGAAAUUGCCAAGAGCAUUGCCUUUACUGCCGAGCCAGAUGCUCUGAUUUGGCAACUGGACAAUAAGGGGAAGUACUCCUCCAGCUCCCUCUAUCAUAUUAUCAACUUUAGAGGGGUCCAACCCAUGUUUAUCCCUGCAGUCUGGAAAUUAAGAGUUCCCCCUAAAAUUCAUGUUUUUCUCUGGCUUCUCUCCAAAAACAAAUUGAUGACUAGAGAUAAUCUUAGGAAGAGACACAUCAUUAAACCCCUGGAGUGUGUUUAUUGUUUGGAACAAGAAUCUUGUUCUCACCUAUUUUUUGAAUGUAUUGUUGCUAAACAUCUCUGGGCCCCUAUUGAGGAAUUUUUCUCUAUUUAG